CCCAAAUCCCGAUUUGGUGGCAUAAAGUCCCAAAUUUCAUGGAAGAAAAUCUGAAUUUUUUUUGUAUAUAUUUAAACUAGAUACCCUAGAUAGAAAGUAUCAAUAAAUAUUUUUGUCAAAAAUGCAACCUUGCAAUUUUUACAGAUGUUUAAAGUCAGGUGAUUGAGCAGCUGAUUUUUGUGACAAAAUUGGCGGGAAAUAUUUAAUAACUUUGAGAGCUUGGCAAAUCUAAACCAAACAAUAUUUUUCUAUUAUUUAAAAUGGAUAUUGAAGUUGGAGGAAAUCAAAAAGCUGACAAAAGUGUUCGUCUUCUGUAGAGGAAAAAAGGUGUUGUGCGUAUUUGUGCGUUGUUUAAUGUAUGUUAAACAAUAGUAGACACUUUAUAUUAAAUUUUAAUAAUAGUUUCGUUUG